UAUAUAUAUGUAUAUAUAUUAGGGCUUGUAGAUAUAUAUAUGUAUGUUGUAUAUAUAUUAGGGCUUGGGAUAAACAAGAUGGGUUGAAUGCUUGAAAAUGUUGGAAUUAGGGCUUUUGACAAUCUCAUAAACAACUUGAAUCUUGGAUUUUGGCCUUUUGAUUUGGGAAUUGAGUAUACUUUACCUUACCUACCACCUGCUCGAUGAAAUUUCUCUACCAAAUUUUCCACUCAUUCAUAAAUUAUUCUAUUCAUUUGGAUGUCAAGUUCAAGUGUCAAUGUGGUGGCUCAGAUCGGUUGACAUACUUGAACAAAAAUUGUCCAAGAUGUAAUAAAACGGCCACUAUUCGAAUUUCGAGACCGAUCGAAACAAAAACAAGUUAUUCUAUUCUUGCAUUGAUUGUGGUAGUUUUAUUGGAUGGUGCCUUCCUAUCAAUUCACAAUGUAGAGGCCAUGAAAUUUCAAGACAAGCACAAGGAGAAGUGCCAACUGUCGGCGAACAACUUCAAUGUAUGACCGAACAACUUUGAUCUAUGACCGAACAACAAAGAUCGAUGAUGAAACAACUUCGAAUUCAGAGCACAAAGAAGCAAUAUGUGUUGUUUGUGUUGCUUGUUAUUGGUGCCUUAUUACUUAUGAAGAUGUAAUAAUAUUUAUAUAUAUAUAUAUAUGCAACUAAGAAGUAGAAGUAGAAGUAGAGUGAACACUAUUGUAUGGUACUGUGAUGUUUUACACCCAAUAUGUAUUGUACCUUUUUUGACUUUUGUUGACCUCCAAUAUUGGUUAUGUAUUGCAUGUGUUUGCCAUUUGAGGUGCUGUUGAAUAUUUGAUGUUAACAGAUUGAUAUUGAAUAGAAUGAAAAGUUUCAGGUCCUUCUGCAUGUUAA